AACGAACGCUGGCGGCAGGCCUGACACAUGCAAGUCGAACGAUGCCUUCGGGCAUAGUGGCGCACGGGUGAGUAACACGUGGGAAUAUGCCUUUCGGUGGGGAAUAACGUCGGGAAACUGACGCUAAUACCGCAUACGCCCUUCGGGGGAAAGAUUUAUCGCCGAAAGAUUAGCCCGCGUCCGAUUAGCUAGUUGGUGUGGUAACGGCGCACCAAGGCGACGAUCGGUAGCUGGUCUGAGAGGAUGAUCAGCCACACUGGGACCGAGACACGGCCCAGACUCCUACGGGAGGCAGCAGUGGGGAAUAUUGGACAAUGGGCGAAAGCCUGAUCCAGCCAUGCCGCGUGAGUGAUGAAGGCCCUAGGGUUGUAAAGCUCUUUCGACGGGGACGAUGAUGACGGUACCCGUAGAAGAAGCCCCGGCUAACUUCGUGCCAGCAGCCGCGGUAAUACGAAGGGGGCUAGCGUUGUUCGGAAUUACUGGGCGUAAAGCGCACGCAGGCGGUCUGCAUAGUCAGAAGUGAAAGCCCUGGGCUCAACCCGGGAAUUGCUUUUGAUACUGGCAGGCUUGACUCACGGAGAGGGUAGGGGAAUUCCGAGUGUAGAGGUGAAAUUCGUAGAUAUUCGGAAGAACACCAGUGGCGAAGGCGCCUACCUGGCCGUCGAGUGACGCUCAUGUGCGAAAGCGUGGGGAGCAAACAGGAUUAGAUACCCUGGUAGUCCACGCCGUAAACGAUGAGUGCUAGAUGUUGGGGUGCAUGCACCUCAGUGUCGCAGCUAACGCGUUAAGCACUCCGCCUGGGGAGUACGGCCGCAAGGUUA
rnacentral:rRNA from 1 species